rnacentral:rRNA from 1 species
UACGGGGGGGGCAAGCGUUGUUCGGAAUUACUGGGCGUAAAGGGCGCGUAGGCGGCCAACUAAGUCGGAUGUGAAAUCCCCAGGCUCAACUUGGGAACUGCAUCCGAUACUGGUCGGCUUGAAUCCGGGAGAGGGAUGGCAGAAUUCCAGGUGUAGCGGUGAAAUGCGUAGAUAUCAGGAGGAACACCUAUGGCGAAGGCAGCUCGCUGGGACGGUACUGACGCUGAGGCGCGAAAGCGUGGGGAGCGAACAGG